AUUGAACGCUGGCGGAAUGCUUUACACAUGCAAGUCGAACGGCAGCACGGACUUCGGUCUGGUGGCGAGUGGCGAACGGGUGAGUAAUGUAUCGGAACGUGCCCAGUCGUGGGGGAUAACGUAGUGAAAAUUACGCUAAUACCGCAUACGAUCUAUGGGUGAAAGCGGGGGAUCGCAAGACCUCGCGCGAUUGGAGCGGCCGAUAUCAGAUUAGGUAGUUGGUGGGGUAAAGGCCCACCAAGCCAACGAUCUGUAGCUGGUCUGAGAGGACGAACAGCCACACUGGAACUGAGACACGGUCCAGACUCCUACGGGAGUCAGCAGUGGGGAAUUUUGGACAAUGGGCGAAAGCCUGAUCCAGCCAUUUCGCGUGCAGGAUGAAGGCCCUCGGGUUGUAAACUGCUUUUGUACAGAACGAAAAGGUUUCUACUAAUACUAGGAGCUCAUGACGGUACUGUAAGAAUAAGCACCGGCUAACUACGUGCCAGCAGCCGCGGUAA
rnacentral:rRNA from 1 species